AAGAGAAGGAGUUGAGGAUCUCUUGUGGCAGGAAGGUCAGCAGCCACUCGUCUCGACCCGUUGAGUCUUUCGUCUUGACCUGACUUCGAAGGUGCCAUGCCAUCUCUUUUGUACAUGAGAGGGCUCCUGUCGCCCGGCUGUUGAGGAUUUACCUGAGGCAGGGGCCAUUUUCAACGUUAGCUAGGGAGGCCUUUUUUUCUUUUGUUUGUGUUGUUGGAGGCGCUUAGGGGUCUAAACUUGCACCAUACUUUUUUGGAUCAGUUUACAACCCUUUUUAUGAGGGACUACUUUUUGCACACUUUUCAACAACAAGCUGCAUUCAAAAGCGCAACAACAAGUUGGCAGCGUUGCCGUAUAUAAGUUCCACUCUGAUUUCCCUUCGUAAAUGCCUAGACUUUUCACGACUUUUUACCCACUUCUUCACAAAGCUAAUUCUUUCCAUGAUUGAUUCCGAGGAGUUACUCAUCCUUCCUUUGAUUCCAUUCCGGUAGUGAGUCCGUUGAGUCCAUUGACUCGAACAAGAAGCGAGAGGAGCUAUGGUUAUUAACCGCUUAGCUGCACUGGCCCGCCAAGAUUAGCUCCCUACUGUACUGAUACUGAAGAAAACGACUCCUACCGGCCUACCGAUACCUACUGAUUAGCUCAUAGCUCAACUACAGACUAGCUACUAUAUUGGGCCAAAAUUAAAUAUAUUUAAAAUACACAAAAUGGCCCAAACCUUUAAGCCCAUUAUAACAAAAUCUGAAUUUGAAUUCACUUGAAUUUGAAACCCUAAAUCCUAAGCUAUCAGCCGCCCCAAGUUCCCAACCCCAAUCGGCCAAUCCCCAAUCUCUCAUCUCUCUCUAUCUCUCGGAUGAAUCUGACCGGCGACGUGCACCCCGGCGCGCACGAGACAGCAGCAGUAGCAGAGCAGCACGGAGCUGCUAGCCCGCAACUUUAGCUCUCAUUUCCCCAAUCUCUCAUCUCUCUCUNGCCUAGCUAUAUCUCCUUUAGCUGCCUCGGGUGAUUCCGGUUGAUGAACUCACCUAUUGAUCUUCCUAUCGAAUGAACUAGCUACACCCAUUGAUUCCUAUUUAGGAGAUGCACCGAUUGAUACAUAUUGAUUCCGGAAGAGGAAGAUAGGAUAGUUCUUCCUCUUCCGGAAUCCGGCAUUAGCAACACCGGUUAGCAACAACGACAGCGGCAGAUCAGUCGUGAUAUUCUUUCAGCAUCACUCCCUUGCUUAGGAAUACACAAGAAAUAAAGACCAGAAGGGAUUUAUUUCUAUAUAUUCCUCCAAGAAAAGAACAAGUUAACUCAGAAAAACAAGUAACUCACUUAGGGGAGCUGCACUAGGAUGUUCGUUUAGCAACCGUAACUUACUUCCUCCGAUAGCAACACCGAUCAAGAAGCCAAGGAUUGCGGACCAGCUUCGAGCCCGAGAAGAAAGCAACGAGGAAGAAACAAGAAAUAAAGACGUUUACGAUAUCUUUCUUCCCAUUCCUCAAAGAAAAGCAAGGAAAAGACUGCAAUUGACGCAAAUCCUCCGAUAGCUGCAGUUCGAACCGAGAGCUCAUACCGGAAGAACCAAGAAAUAAAGACCAAAGGGAGAUAUUUCCACUAUCUAUCCAUAUCUGUCCUAAAAGGGAAGCCAGAACUCAUAACAAUCGGAAAACAAAGACCUUUAGGAUACAGUUUCCAGAUGUCUAUCUAUAAAGAAUAAAACAAGGGCGGCAAAGCAGCAAGAGCUACAGUAGCUGCAAUGGCUGCAAGAACUCAUAGCAACGGGGAAAACAAGACCCAAGGGAGUUAGUUCCACUAUGUAAAUCAAAAAGGAGAAGCUAAAUUAGAGUCCUUUACUCUAGAAAGCAAUCAGUAGACGAAUACCCGUAGAGCAGUAGCCUUUACUUCUCGAUUGCGCUGGUAGUCUUUGUUGUUACCGCGCCAAUACCAAGUUUCAAAACGUAGUAAUAUUCCUGUUCGUGAGACAUGGGAAAAACACCUUCUUCUUUGGUUUAUGUUGUCCGAGUAGUAGGGGCCUCUUGCUGUCUUUGACCUGUGUUUGUAGUUCUACUUUUCUUUUGUAACCAGCUAGGGAACUCGAAGGGGACGAGCUCCUUGCUCUUCUGUCAAUCAAUAGGGAAUCCCUUCUUUCUUUCCUUGCCAUAAAAGAAGUAACCAGACUUCUACUAUUAGUAUCAUAAAGCCGAGGGAUUGAGUUAGCUGCCUGAGGAAUCCUGCCCUUGUUGCAACUCUAUAGUAAACCCUAGGCCUAGGUAAAUUCCUUUUUGGCCAAUGUUCCGUACACCACGCUUAGUGGGCCGUGCUUAGGUUGGCUUUGUGUCAAUAGUAGGGGGAAGAUUACCAGCUUUUGCCUGUAGUUUUAGUUCUGAAUUGACUUGCCUUUUGCAACCAGCUAGGCAGGCUCAGAAGAGCUGCUUGUUCUGUUGAAGCUAGUCCCUUCUUUGUUUAGGAGAUUCGUGAGAAGAAGGAUCUAAACUUGGACUACUCUAGAAGUGAUUUCCUGUGCUUGUUGAAACCCUAGAGGAACCAGGCUAGUCCACUCAUGAAACUAAUAAACUCCGGAAAUUCUUUGGUCAGUUUAGAUUCUUCUUCUAAGAAUAUCGGUAAGGGGAAUUCAUUCCUUCAAUCACUGAGGAAGAAAUCCCAGAUCUUUGUUAAAAAGAAUGGCUACUCCCAAAGCCUUGCUCAAGAAGGAUAUCGGGUUGGUAGAUCAGAAAAGCCGCAAUUCCGCCCGAGAGCAACACCGAAAUGACAGCUGCCCAAAACAAGGAGUUAGCUUCAGUAGCUUUCGUCAGCUAGCAACCCAGAUCAAGAGGCCAAGGAAUAGCAAAUAGUUUCUAGUAUUUCGACUUUAUCUUCCCUACUAAAGGAACUAAGGAUACCCAUCUCAUCAAUCGAAGUAGGCUUCAAUCCUCGAACUAACCAGCGUUGCGGGAUCGCCCGAAGGCCUGAUCCACUCGUGGCAUUGCUUGUGGUUGUCGAGAACUUACUCUAGCACAUCUUCGGCUUGAUCGAGCUCUUAUCUUACUUCUAUUUACCUCUCUUCUAAAUUCGUAACAGGAACUCUUUCUUUGGUAGCUAAUAUUAGUAGAGCAGAAGACAACAAGCAAUCCAGGACCUUUUCUAAUACUCAUAAUUUCCACUAACGUCUCGAGUGGAUGCACAAGUUAAGCGGGGUGUGUUAAGCAUUAUGAUAUUACACACUUUUCAUCCAUCUUUUCAGCAAAAACAAGGCUAAUUCAAGGACUGUCAGACGCUGUUUACCAAUACUUAUUCAUCUAUCUCUUAUAAGAGAUCGGACUGAAUAGUUCCUCUUUCUCCACUUAAUAUGCCUCAAUCAAAGAAUCGGUUGCAAACGUUCUUUGAUCAGGUAAAGAGGCGGCAAUCCUACCAAUAAGAAGAAUAGGAAGUGAGCUAAUUCCCUUAAGGUUUACCGUGGGGCGAACUACCACCAUAGGCGGAAAGAAAGAAUAUGACCAAGACCCUAAAGUAAGAACCAUAAUUGCCUCAACCGUAGGACAAAGUAGAACCCUUCCUUUCACCAAUAGUGGAAGUCGAAAGACAUCCUUCAAAGCAAGAAGCAGGAAUCCUAUCAUCGUAAGAAAAUAGUUCACCCUCAGAAACAGGAGAAAGAACGCCCGGUAAUCUACCAUCGGCAGUUGAAAAAGAAGGAAAGAAGGCAGAUUGUACCUAUCCACUAGCCCGGGACCUAUGAAUAUAAAAGGCAAAAGAGGAAGCAAGAGACGCAGAAUGUCCAUGGUUUAGCUUGUUUUCGUUCGACUUGUUUUUUGAAGAGCUUGCAAAACCGGUACUGGUAGGGCUGAACGACUAGUAGGAUAGUAUUCCAGCUUUGCCAACUCCUAGGAAGAAGUUAAUCCCAAUCCUUUAUUCAUAUUCAUAACUAGGAUUCAUUUCCACUAGCUAAAAGACAAGAAAUGAGAAAGAUUGAAGCCACUCCAAAGAAGAGCACUAAAAGACAACUCUUUCCCAUCUCCUAGCUAAACUCAGACCAAAGGGAUUCCUUUUCCAUAUAGUUACAGGAUUCUUAUCUAAAAGCAAGGCAAUAGCUACGUUGAAAUAAAGACCUUUGGAGACUCUUUCCCUAUCUAUGGAUAUAUGGAUUCCCGGGCUUUGUCUUUGUCCCUUGUUACCGGGUAUUUGACCUAGCUUCAGGCUUGGUUACAGGACCUUUGCCCUUGGUAACGGCUCUUGGACCUUUUACCUGUCUACGGCUUUUCUGGAGAGUAAGAACCCGAACCUAUUCCGACUUCGCUCUGUGCCCCUUUCUUUCGCCCUCUGUACUGAGUCUACCCGGGAGACGUGUCUCAGAGUUUAUCUUAUAGUUCCUGAUAUGGCUCUGGUUUCAUAUUCCGAUUGUUACUAAGCUAGACUUAGGCGAUUGACCCUUGGCAUAGGAUUUGGCAUCGUAUCUCGCUUUGACGUAUUGGUUACCAGGUAUCAGGUCCUUUGCCAUAGCUCAUAACAAGAGCGACACCUUUCGAGUUCUUACCGAAAGUUGCUCUCUCCUCUCUAGCUAGGGCAGUAGUAGCAGUUAAAUCAGGAAUCCAGGGGAGCUAUCAGGUCAAGUCCAGGUCUCUAGCUUUGGUUAGUUCCUUGCUAGGGCUUUGUAAAGGGUUAGAGAAAAGGAAGGCCAAAUAGUCUCAGGAUGGCCCUGGUUUUCCUUGUAUGUAUGCCAAUUCCAUGAGUGAGAUGCGGUUAGAGAGGCUUAAAAGGCCCAUUCAGACACCUAGAGUUCCAGUUUUGUGGAAGAUGCCUUAUUAAAUUAAAAGGGUUUUCUUCGUCCUUUCCUGAGAGGAGUGGGAAAUCCAUCGAAAAAGUAGGAGUUUGUCUGUUCUUUCCUAUGUUCAUCUUACCCUGUUCUGAUAACCUCUAUCGUUUUAUUCAUGCUACUUCUAUAAAUCCUAUUCCUAUUUAGAGCUGCUUUCCUACGAAGAAAGAAUACAUCCUGAGUCUAACCACUGAAGAAGAGUCCGUAGGUGGCAGCAUUCCUUGUCUUGUGGUUUGUGAAGAGAAGGAAGGUCAGAAUGAUGGCAAAGCAGAUGAAAAGAACAAGAAUUGAUAUCGAAAAGAAGUGCUAAAAAAGAAUUAUUCCUUUACUACGGACCGGAUAAGACGGAUGACUUUACUAUGUGAGACGUACCGUCUUGAGAGAGAGAUCUGAUCCUAGCUUAGCGCAAACAACAAGGGCAGUUCCUGUCUACCAUUCAUUUGAGAUCAGAGCUUAGAAGAAGGGAAUGGGUAUCAGUUUGAGUUCGUAUUUGAGCUAUUUCUGUUCCUGAUGGUGUUGCUAGCCGUAAGAUGGGAAACCUGAGUGAAGGGGAGUUAAUAACUCUCCUCGAAAGUAGAUUCUGAAUGAAGAUCUAAAGUUUCCAAUCUCGAAAGUUAGGCUCCUCAAGGUAAAAGCAUGAAAGGGUGUAACUUUGUCAGUCAUGUACGAAGUGGAAAGUUGGGCUACUUUCUUGCUUGAUCGCGGAUUUCCUUGUUGAGGAAAGUCGGAUACAAAGUAUUGCUUACCGUUUCCCUGGAAUAUCCAUAAACAGAACUGCUUGUUUCGCUUAAAAGCGACUCUCCGAGCUAGUCUUUGACUCCGCUCUUCCCAGUCUAUCCGACAGAGCAAGAGUAGGGGAAGGAAUCUUCCUGGUUGUUAGUUGUUUUUCAAGCUCGGAAUGUUCCGAAAGUGGCUCCCGUUGUUGUUUGUUGAGGGUAAUUUCCUGAGUCAAGGAAUGCUGGGACAUGCCCCGGCCUUGUAGUUUCGGAAGAUCAGAGUGUACAUAGCUAGGGACCUUCAGCUGCCCUUGACUCUCCCUUUACUUUGCCCAAGAAUAACAUACCAAGGGCUCCUAAUACUAAUAAAUGUCCCAAAAGAAAUAAAGGCAAGCUACUCGGGAGAGAAGCAAAGGCAGGAGAAACAAAGGCACGACCGACACGAUCAUAAGUUCCAGGUGAGAGAUCGAGUGUGGUAAAAGUUUCCGAAGGAGAAUGCGUUCUUGAGUCAGUAAGCUUUCUCCUCUUUGUGACCUUUAAAAAGUGUUUUUCAGCAACCCGAUUCAUCAUGGAAUUCAAUGAAACCAUUGAAGCCCUUGUUCUGAAAGACCACUUCUUUCAACUCAUUCUCUGGCUCCGGCUACCUACUGUGCUUUCCCCUAAUUCAAUUAAUUGAAUGUCGCUCGUCAAUAAAGAGAAUUUAAGAUAAAGGCUUGUCACUUAAUCGGCUGCCGUAGACGAGACUCUUUCACUGAAUCCGUCUGAUGUCCCCUUUAUGGAUCCAUGGGUUGGUACCACAUGAGACUCACCAAUAGACAUAAAUAGAAUCGACAAAGAGUACCCGUUGCCGAAGAAUACCCAAGAAAGCAAAUAUGGAAAUCUCACUCAGAUAAUGUAUUGUUAUAAAGUGCAAAAUGAAUAGGUGCAUAAAGAGCGAGUCCAGUCUCCAUCUUGGAAACCGAAUUCAGAUUAAAGGGUUCACUCUAAAGCUCAAUCAUCAUUUAGGGUUUUAUUCAACAAGGGGAUUUCCCAAUGGGCAACUCAGGAACUCCUUUUUAUAUAAUAGUUACCAGAUCCUUGAUUAAAGAACAAGGGCUUAAAACGACAGUUCAACUCUUUUAAUGGAGGGUCACACGCGGGCUUCGUCAAACGCUUCUUUUAAGACGCCCUAGUAACAUCUCUCUCUUGAUAAUAGCACAGCCAAAGCGGACAAGGGAACCUCCCAUGGGUCUUUUGAUUGGUUUACGCCAUUCAUAUAUAGAAGGGGGUUCGUCUUCUUUCUUUAGGGAUUCCUACUCAUAGUAUGAAUAGAACGCACGACAGCCGCAUAACCCCUUUAAGGGUUUUUUUAGCUCAUAGCUCUGAGGAAAGAAGCAAGUCAAGCCGACUUCAAAGUUGUUUGGAUUGAAAAGGUUUGGAGCAGCUCAAACGAGGAAGCGGAAACUUCUUGAUCUACGCCACCGGGCAAGCGAAUAAUGCCAUUUCUCCUUUCUCUCUAGGAACAGAAGAGCAUCUGUUGAUGAAUGGAGAUCAGAUACAUGGACCACGUUCCCCAUUUUAGAGCAUGUAAAUCGAUGAUUACGGCCUCGAAUCGAACAGCUCAAAGGACUGGAGGCGGAGACGCAGACUUCCUUUUCUUCUUUGCUGCCUUAGGCUGGAUAGCGCCACUGAUCGGGGACGCUUGAUACGGAUUGGAAGUCCAACUUCGCCCAACCUCGUACGAACUUGUGAUCGAAAUGCAACAUAGGUGGAAGUCUCAGAAUGGAACUCGUCGAACAUGGUUAUUAGUGAAAAUCAUUGAGCUACCUUUUUCUCGGUAAAAGACCAUGGAGCUCCCUUGAAGCUGGAAAGAUUCCAAAUCAACAAGGCAGGAGAGAGAUUUAGAUGUCAUACCCUAGUAAUACCCCGCUUUCCUAAAUCCGUACUACCGGGUUCUAAACUGGUGCUAGAACGCUUCCUUCUCCCUUCCCGGGCAACAGGGGAUCUCUUCCCCUCGGGCGCACAGGCAGAUCUAUACUUCCGCUGAUUAACGGAUCGAAGUUCCUCGGCUUUCCGAAGGCAAAAGAAGAGGUGGCUUGACUAAAGAAAAACUAGAGUUCGCUUUGAAGAGUCGUUUAUCGGGCACACCUUAUAUCUUAUAUACCGCUUUUGGGCAACCUUCUCCAUAAAGAGAACCCCUUACCGAGAACCUCUUUGUACUUUUCCUUGUUGACGAGAUCAAAUACUUGAGAGGAAGACUAUCAAUUUGUCAUCUUCAAUCGGCCUUACUAAGGGCGGUUUUCGCUAUCAGAAAGGGCGGGUUUCACCUAUAAAGGUUUUGACGCUUCUUCCCUCUACCGAUUAGACGGGUUGCUUUCCGAAAACGCCUUUUAGCGCAGUGUAGCAAGUUGCACAAUGAAAUGGAGAAGUUGUAGCCUCCAGCAUUGGUUUUCCAAGCCAAGAAAGCCCAACACCGGGAGUCAGAAAGGGAGGUCGUAUAGCUGGCUAGCUUCGAUCUUUCCUUGGCUUCAGCUAUUGGAAGAGCUUGAAGCUGCGAGUGGAAGAGUGAGUGCUUUUCUGCCGUACAUAAGCGGUUUGUUACUCCUGCCUUGAAUGAUGAAUGAGAAGGAUGGAAGAGCUAGUCGAAUCUUGGUACCAUUCCAUAUAUGAAGUGGAAACCGAAUAAGCACAAGAAAGAUUGGAAGAAGAAAGCACCCUGGAUGCCGCAACCUUAAAGCAUGUACCGGGUUCAGACGUAGGUUGGGUAAGUAGCGAAGGGUUCGGAUCUUAUGAGAUUUAGAAAAGCCUUAGGAAUUGAUCCAGUUGAGAGAUUGGAUCUAAUCUUUGAAGUCAAAGUCCUUGCAAGACCAAUAAGAGUAGCACGGAAGCACAUGGGCGAGUUGUGCUAUGGCAAUCGACGGCAGGGCAGGGUAGGGAAAGCGGGGCUUUGGCCGCUCGAUGGUUUCGAGUUGCCUAAAGGCUGGGUGCCCUCCUCUCCUGGGAGACCUACGAUCAGAAAGAAUAGUUGGUUACUAAAUGCUGGAAGUUCCCCUGUGGCUGCCAACUCAGCGCUGCUUAGCCCUCUGUUGCCGGAGGGGGAGCUUCCUUAGCUGAUAGCAAGCUCAUUGGAUCACUCGCUCUACUUACCAAGACUGCCCGGUAGGGGCUAUUCUACCAGCAUCAACUCAUAUACCACGUGGAAUGAUAACCGAAGGGCUCAAGCAAAGCCCGUUUUUCAGCUGCUAAGAUAGUGGCUCUUUUUUCUAUUUGCUUUGAUUCAAGAGUGGUACUUCCUUCCCCAAGGACAAGACGGGCUCUUCUUCAUAUUAUUAUGCUAUGCCAUCUCCUCUUUCUGAAUCUGCUGGUGAGCCGGUACAUAGGAACUGCUCUUACCUUAGGCUUGUUCCGCAAGCUUUAGCAGGCUUAAAGGGGGAGGGCCCGGAACUUAGAAUGGUCAAAGGGUGAGCCGGGGAUUACUAUUAGCCUCCUUAUCCUUCUUUCGCUACUUAGGCACGUUAAACCCUUUUUGCUCCUAUGGAUAGAGCUAAUGGGAAUUCCAUUACUUCCACGAAAGCUGGUACACUCUGUGGGACUUCUACUUCGACAGCUAUUCCUACUUCUGGGACAAAGACUUCCACUGCUACAGAAAGUAGAUGAAUGGCCUCAGGAUUUCAGUUCAUUUCCCGCUCAUGAAUCCCACUCUUGCUCUUGGUAAAUGUCGUUUUGUUGGUGUCCCACCAAUGUCAUCCUUUACUGAGGGUUUACAGUCGUUAUGGCAGUGGCCAUUGAUUCAGUUAUAGAACUUUUUUUGAAGAGAAAUAGUUAAAAGGAUUAUAGCAUAUAAUAGGAUCUAGUUGCUAUUUAGAAUCAAUUUAGCCCCUCUGAAACAGUCCUAGGAUAGGGGCAGCAUUAUCCGACUUAAGGAAGUGAACAAGCGAGCUCGCAAGAGAGAGCUUUGGAUAGCCAGUUGUUCUAGGUUCAGUUAAUCUUCAUCUAGUUUUAGUUGAGUUUGGGUAUCUAGUUCUAGGGGCAGUUCUCUUGAAUCCCGCUUUGGUUUUUCUAAAUUAGAAUCUAGCUGCUCCGCUCUAUCCUUUCGUGUCAUGAAGUCAAUUCCCUCCGUGGAAGUACCUGGGUUUCAAACCUCGACUGCUAUUCCUGCUGGAAUGCUAUUGGCAUGGACAAAAGCAAAUCGGUGCCCAUUAAAAAGGGCUGCAUAGGUCCUUAUUUUAUUCCAGUUGCCGAUUCUUAUGGAAAUGGAAGCGGUACGGUGUGUAAUUGGACUAAUUGGGUCUAUUCUUUAUUAGUUUAGUAGGUUCUUUUUCUAAAGAGAGUAAGCGACUUGGUCUAAUUCAUUUAGUAUUUUCCUGCUUCAAGGUCGAAUAAGAUGAGUUAGUCGAGACAGGACAACGCGGGCAAAGCCGGUCGAGAUGGCUAGUAAAGAAGUUGGGGCAUGUCAACAACCCGUGGGGUGAAGUCCUCGGUCAGUGAAGAUGAUUCUCUUUCUCGAUGUGGUAUGCUUCCGGCCGUUUGCGAACCAAGCCUUGAAGGACCAAGAGUGGAUUUUCGCUUCUUUUCGUUGAAUUGGAUCGGAUUGAGUUAGGACAUGCUUUUUUGAAUUCAUUGACUAUUUCUACUAGUUCAAUGGUCUCACAGCUCGUUCUAUCGCGAAUAAUUUCAAGGAAGCUUUUACGCUUCGGCUUUUCCGGUAGUGUUGGAUUCCUCUUAAGAUAUGUUUCUUUCAAACGUCAACCCUUUACGAACUCAAAAUGUGGAUGGUUCCCGGUGAAGGUAUUCCAGAUUUGGAAUAUCGGCUGGGGCAGCCGGGAGUGGAAGUAGGAGACGACCUCUCCCCCACAGAACGGAGAGUAGAGGAUCGUUUACUACUUUAUAAAACAAAUCCGGAACAGCUAAUUUCCGUCGAUGAUGUAAAAACUCUUGUGCGACUCAAAAGCGAAAUAGUAGAAAAAAUGGCACUACUGGAUAAUGACCCGGAACGCUUGGAUAUUAAGACGAGACGAUGUGAUUUCUAGAUCUAUUCUAACUCCCAAAGGUCCUGAAUACAAGAUAGAAACACUACAAGGGAAGUUGCAGGAUUUGAACCAAAAUGGGGCAAACUCCAACUUCUUUCAAAAACUGCAGAAGAUUCGGAAAGACUUCCAAUCUUUUGGUAGGUUUGAUUAGUACAAGAUCUAAAUUAAGGUACUUUGAAGUGCGAAUUGAUAUGAUUCUCGAAGAACUACGUUUGACUUGAUCCCGAAACGCAGAAGGGUACGUAGGUAGCUUGGAAAGGCCAGAGCAUAAGGAAGGAAGCUCACUCAGAAGCGAACUCCUACUACUAUUUUAGAGUACCGAAGCUCAAUGGCAUUGAUCACACCUACGGCCAGAAGAAAGGAAAAAGACUUGAGCUGGGGCUGGGCCAAGUUUAGUGGACCUGCAUCUCCGUGACGUGAUCUUGAUGCCACUGGAAGCGGUAAUAACCCGUGGGUUUGCGAGACAUAAUUGUGUGUACGAGUGCAAGUAAGUACAACGAGAAAGAGUACCAUGCAAUUAACAAACAAAUCUAAAAUAGUUCAAUCUGCCCAAGCAUAAAAACAGCAAAUAGUUCAGCUUCGCCUUCAUGAUGCUUGUUCCGGAGGCUUCCUAAGAAUUCCCUUAAGCUUAGGCGGUGGCUCAUCUGGCAUAGACUGAAAUCCUUCCCCUUUCUUCGUAUGAUCGCUUCUUUCUUUUCCAAUGCUCUUUUUUUCACCAUUCAAGGGGCCUGCCGAUGGUGUUAGAUGAUUCCUUCUUUUUAACUGAAUCUUUCACCGUCUAAACUCUCAAUCUAUAAGAUAGGCCUCCCUUCAAAGCUUAACGUCCUUCGGACCAUGUCCCAUAUUAUAUUAAAUACGGAAUUACUUUCAUUUUACCUCCUAUAAUCAUCCAUUAGCAAGAUGGUCGACCCCUACUCUUUUCUUUCAAAGUAGAUCUCCAUUCUUUCUUUCUUCCGUGUACGGAUUCGCCGCUUCCUCACCUGUCCUAGGAAGAGCCGCUUUUCGUUCCUUUCUUCCAUAAUAAAAUAAAUAGUAGGUGCUGGCCAAUUCUUCCUUCUAUUAAGAGAUUUCUAGCCGAACUUUGGACCGGUGUCAACAUUUCUCACCAGGGGAGAUGGCAAAACUUCCAUUCAAGAUGGAGUUGAUGAAUGGAAAUCCUCGUGCUAUCUUUUAUCGGCAUAUAAGUCUAAAUAAGUCAAAAAUGGAUCGCGGCUCUUCAGAAUGAACCUUUUAAGGAGGGUACGAAGUAGAUACUGAUCGAAGAGCAGCAAAGAGAAAGAUGCGGGCAGAGCAGAGUCCUGCUGUGGGAGAUAUCNAUACUGAUCGAAGAGCAGCAAAGAGAAAGAUGCGGGCAGAGCAGAGUCCCAGAUGGGAUUGCACAUUCUCCUCAGUAGGGAAACCGGAUCAUGCAACAACCGUAGGCUGAUGCGACUCCCAUUCCCACAGUAAUACCAAAACCAGUCUAAACAACAACUGGAGCAAUUCAAACAGCAGCCCGGGACUCCCCAUUCAAGGACACAAGACGCUUGUUCCACGUGUUCUUGGUCCGGUACGAUACUUCCGAGUCCUACCAGGUACCUAUUUCAGAGGCCCUUCAGUGAUUUCCCGUAUGAGUUCCUUGUUGUUAGAGGACUCAACGGCAACGGACAAUCUAUCGAAAGCUUCCCUGAAGAAAACACGACAGAAAUGCAAUAAAACAACUUAUACGGAUACGGACUAAUCGAAGAUUUACGCCUAACCGCAUUAGGAUAAACAAGAAAUUAGCUUGCUUUUGAUUCAUUCGACCAAGGCUCAACAGGAGAAGGUGGCCAUGAAAGCCAGAAGUGGAUGCUGAUUCUCUCUGAGUGCUAGUGGAGAUUGCUGAUUAACUAAGGGGGACUUUUCUUUAAAGUGUGUUAGGUUUUAUGAUUAUAUAAUCAACUAAUUCAAUGGCUCACUUCGCAGGUAAAGUUCUAUCUUCUUCCUAUUCUACUAGCUUGUUGACACCUGUGCUACAUUCCCAACCCUUCCGAACUUGCUUGAAGGCUUCUAAAGAAUUUGAACUACUAAUUGUGUUACACAUAUGGAGAAAGCUAUAAAGCUAAAGCACAUUCUUUUAAGAAUGUAUCUAUUUUUCUUUUUCAUUUGAUUAUUCUCUUGUGGUUGAACGACUCCCAAGGCCGCAAUGUCGUUCUCGUUGACCACGAUUACUAUUGAUUUUUUUCCCAUCUUUCUAUCGCGCUAGAUAGAUGGGAACCCGCCUCACCUGGGCUUGGAAAUGCCCUAUUCGCGAUCAAAUCAUUCAUUAAACGGAUCAAUUCUUGUCGUUUCGCUGGCGACGCGAAAUCGAUACGUAAUUCGGUUGUUUUUAGUUUAUCUAUAUACCUAAGUGAAGGUUGUCUUUUAUUGACAUAAAAAUCUAAAAAUUUAUUGAUUUGACUAUCAAGCUCCUCGAGGGUGGGAAGGAGAAGGAAGAAUCAAAUUUGUACGCAAAAUAAACUGACAAAUAUGAAUAUUAGGAAAAAGAAUGGGGAGUCCCCCAUGAGCAUGAGUUCAUUCAUAUCGGUUUCUUUUUUUCAUUCAUUGACUGCUCCGCUCUUUUCCUCUAAACGAAAAAUGAAGAGAGACUCGCUUCCCAAUGAAGGAAGACUUGUAUUUUAGUCAAUUGCCUUGGUUUGAAAGGGAAAGGGACUUUUUGGGCAUUAAUGAACAGAAGACCUCAGUCAGCUUUUUUUUUCACCAACUCAGGUCUUUGUUCUCUUACGAUAUUUCGAGAUUUUUGACUUCACCAAACUAUUACUAAUCCGAUCUAAAAAUAGGAAAGCCCCCGGAUAUUCUAUGGUAAAUUGGAAACGUCGAAGUCAGCUGUGGCUUAUAAAUAGAAAGAUGAGAGGUGAUCCGGUUUGAUUGAAUAUUUGAUUCAUACCAGGGGAUGAAGGAAGCUAAGUAUAGGCCUUGUCUGUAGGCGGAAUAGAGUACGCCCAAUACGGCAAGCAGUAAGUACUGUUUUCUCAUUAUUGGACAGAAGGGUCCUUGGAAGGAAGGCGAGCAAGCCGGUUUCAGAGCUGGCACCGGGGAAAGCAGCCAAGCAGCAAGAAGAAGGCCAGUGAAUAAAUAAAGUACUCCUCUUUCAGUAGAUGAGCUGAUUGGAAUAACAUAUGCAUGCUUCGACCUUUUGCUUGCAAGCUUGAGGGACUAUAGCAGUCAUUCCAAGACUACCAGUCAUGCUAAGAUCAAACCAUAGCCCAGGUGGAUCAAGUAUUCGACCUUGAAUUCCCGACUAUACGCCCAAAUCAUUCUUAGUCGACAGAAGAAGAUCUAAUGCUCUAUGUGACUUUGGGCUUUUUUUUCUUUCUUUAGAGUUAGAGUGGCAAUUAAUCAGACGAGCUACUAAGCUAGUUGAUCCGAUCCAAGAGUCAGACUUUGCUAUAGGAGGAAGGAAAGCCUCAAGAAGAGAUAGAUAGGGAACUUCGACAUGGUUCCCAAGUCAGCGUCAGUACUGGGCACCCAACCCAUUCACCCAGGAAGGGGCACGAAAACUGGUCCUAAUCCGGCUCUUCUUACAAAGGCUACAGAAGCACCCGAAUUGCCAGUACAGCCUAGCGUCGGCUACAAAAAAUCGGAGGUAGUCCCCCGGACCCUCCUGGGGGAGAUUGAGCUACGAUCUUUCUUCCUGCUCGCAGGGAUAGAAUUGGAUUGACAGACCCAGAAGGGAGACAAGCUUUAGACCGAAAUGAAUACCACAGGAUUGAUUCAUAUGCAUCGUCUUCUAAGAUAAGACUUGAAGACUGAAGCUUCCCUUGCCUUGCUUUCACUCAAUAGUCCGAGGGGAAAGAAUCGGAAACCAACAAAAUCUAUAUGAAUGGAUUUGCUUCCCCGGCGGAUGGAAAUGGGGUUUGGUACAACCGCGAAAGACUAAAUUAAAUUGCACAAAGAUGACAGACUUUCCUUUCAUGACUAAAGGCUCGUAAGAUGCGCCACAAACAGAGAACUCAGAGAAAGUUUUCAUUCCCAUUCCAGUUCUUCCUUCUUGUUCCUAGGGCGGGUUGGGACAACUAAGAUAUUAUCAGUGAGGGAUAGGUAGCAAAAAAGCUGGCACAAAAGCCUACCACUACGGACACACCCAAUGCGCUUCUUAAGGAAGAAGCUUCAGGCCCGCAAGUCGCUGUCUACCCGAUUGACGGUCUUCCAGUUCACGUUCUUUGGUUCCUUCAAUAUGCUCUUAGAACCGAUUGGAAGGAGCGGAGCCACUCUUUUUAUACUUUUAUACUAUGGGCGGGGAUGCUUUUUGAAACGAGUGAAUACGAGAGGUUUUUUUGGAUCGUCGGCUAGCUUCCAAGCUUGCAUUCCGGGAAUUGGACUGGCUUAAACAGGAUGACUCCGCUGCCCACUCGUACCUUGAAGUAGAGCCUUCCCCAAGGUAUUAAACAUUCCUCCGAUCGGGGGAAUCAUGAGUUCCUGCCAUGGAAAGUAUAUGUGAACAACCCUCAACGCCACUCAUUUCUGAAGAAGUGGUAAUCAAACCACAAACCAUAAGAUCGGACGAAAGCAACUUAAGCGCGAAUGGCCAAUGUGAUCCCCAAACUGCUAUAUGUUUUUGAAUUUGGCCCAAAAGGCGAAUAAAGAAAGCUAACAAUGGAAAAUGGAAGAUAAAAUAAAGUAGACAAAGAGAGAAGAUUACUUUAACUCUUACUGAAAUCGGAUUUCCUUUUCGUGCCAUAUGCACUUAGCCUUUACUCUAGGAUGAACUGAGCCAUAGCUUCNAAGCAUCCGGUAGAGUUAGAGAGGAAGACCUAUCCGAUAAAGUAAAGUGCAGUUGGUUUCGCUUUAUCCAAAUAGUUUGGCAGGAGCAACUCCCUAACCGCAUAGAGGUUUCUUAUGGCAUCGAGUGAUAUCUGCCUUAAGAGUGUUGUGUGUGGUUAAAAGCCUAAAUAUGAGGGUCUCUGAUCCCGAGCGAUGAUGCAGGGAUCUGCUAACCAAUGCAACCGGUAGGGGUUUUGUAGAAGGAUAGGUUACCAUCUUCCUUCAGUCUUUCGUUUGUCUUACAGGUAUCUUUGUACUGUGCGUCAAAGUUUUGGUUGAUAGAGUCCGACUGGGACCCGUGUGAAUCAAUUGCUGUUGGUUAAGGUUUUUAGUAUAAGGAAAAAGGAAAGCCAUUGUUCUAACCAUGGCCCUUGAGUUCAAUUUCUUUUGGUUUAAUAUGGUAGCAAUCCAACUAAAGAUUUUGAUUCCAGUUGAGAAGAGCCAUCGAACCAGAUUUGUCAUAAAAUGGAGAUUCUUUCCUUUGCUUCCUUAUCAGAGAGGGGGCCCCCUUAGGGUUAGGGAAGCGGGGCUUAUUUAUUGAAAAAGGGGGAGUGAGUGAGGGGGGGGUGGGGAAGGUCCGGAAAGCCCUCACUUUAUUGAUGGGACAUUUGGAUCCUCUUUUCCUCUCACCCGGACCCGGUUCUGGUUCAGGAAAGGGUCAACGCAAGGAUCUUACUUCGAAGCAAUCUCUGGAGUUUUCCCUUAUCCGAACGGGUCUUGCAAGAAAAUAAAAUUUCAUAUUGAGCUCCAAAUAUACGCUAUUGGGAUGGGAUGGCUCCUACUAGCUCCCCCCCCCUAAGAACCGCACGUGCGAGUUCCCCCGCAUACGGCUCAAGUGGCGGAGGCCUUUCCUUCGCGCUUGGUAAGCGCUUCGCUGUAGCCAAGCUUCGACCGCGACUGCUCGUCGCUUCUGGCCGCCUUAUUCCGUCACCCGAGAUCCAAGUCAGCACCGGCAAAGAUCUCUUGAUUCCUCGCGGCCGGGCCGGCUUGGAAGCAAGCUACCUCUUGCCUAUCUUCACCCCCUUUCCCCUUUUAAUAAUAAGGUAAGCUUCCAAAGCUCCUUCCUUUAGCUGGGGGAGCCUUCGCUUUUUGGAUCGUCUUCUGCCCAAUGCGGUACCCCCGUUUUUUGGUUCCCAUUGGGUUUACCUUGUUCACAGGUCGACCCCAUGGCAGCAAGAAAAGGCGAUCUUGUGCUAUACUCCGGUGAUCUCUUUCCCUUAACCUUAAAGGGCACGCAAACUCCCAUCGUGUCCCAGAUCACAUUCCGUGAAUCGAAAGGGGAAGCCUACUCAUCUAUCUCAGCUCCUCUCGUAGAUCGGUGCGGUUUUACGAAGCGUCUAAGCACAGUUCACUCACGUUGAUCAAUCAAGAGGUUUGCCGCCACUCCUUAAGGUUACCUCUUCGCGAAAUUGGCGAAGUUCCGGAAGAAUUGAUGCCAUUUUCGUUCAACUGGGACAGCCGCUUACUUAGAGUUUUCGGGUUGUAUUCCCAAGCACCUUUGGUUAUUGGUUGUGGUAGGCAAACAUCCUUUCUCUACUGUUCUCGUCCGUCCGGGGAUCGAGCUCGGACAUCCGGGAAAUAACCUCACCUUUGAGGCAAAGUCUCGAUUUCAUCUAUGGGUAUCUUCCAAUCCGUCUUUUUUGAAGCAACUAAGAGAAGUCUUGCAUUUAUUUCAUCAAAGACGAAAUGCUUUUUUGGGACAAAAGCAAAAAAGGGCCCUCCCAGCAAACCCAAUCGCCAAGGCCAGAACCCAACCCCACGGGCAGCCCAUUUUUAGGAGCAAGCCCGAAAUGCAGCGACAGCGACCGAAGAUGGAUAAAGCUGUUGUAUCAUACNACCCCAACCCCAGGGCAGCCCAUUUUUAGGAGCAAGCCCGAAAUGCAGCGACAGCGACCGAAGAUGGAUAAAGCUGUUGUAUCAUACACUUCUUGCAUUCUUUCCCACGCUUCAUACCUCCUCUUUCUUCUUAAGGUAAGGUAGCCAGGCAUGGUGGGGUAGGAGCAUCCAGUCGGCAAUCUUUUUGCCUUGACCAAGAAGUCUUAUGUCCUCCGAGUCGCACGGCGUUUUAACCGAAAGAACUUCUUGCGCAAUUCAUGCCUUUCUGUUUUUAUGACCAAAAAUUGUUUCUUGAUUUUCAUUUCAAAUUGUUCUCUGGACUUUUUAUCAAUAUGAGGUGAUCGUAACACAGUAUAUAAGACUCGUGAUUCAGGCAAUCCAAUCUGCCUUGUGUAAGGCGGAAGCCCCAAAAAAUGGUUUUCCAAAAAUGGGUGAUCAAAAGAUUUCAUUACUAUGCCUAUCUUGGUGGUCGUUACUUUUGGUGAUCUUUAUUUUUGGCUGACUCCUCUUCUUGUUCUAUUGAUCAGAAGCAUCCAGCAGCGCCACGCCGGUUUAGAAUUCGAUUAUAAGGGCUAAGGCGUCCCCCGCCCUUUUUUUUAGCUUUCAAUGUAUCCCUGGAUAGCCCAACCAAUAGCUUUAAAGCCGGGUGCAAGAAUAUGCAUCAACGAUAGCCGCCUUCUUGUCAACAAAACCGAGGCCGAAGCCAGUUUAUUUCGACCUCUGGGGAUUUCUCUAUUCUUCGUCUUUCAAUGAGGUAUUCCGGUCUCGGUAUUACACCAUCGUCGCUUUCUUUGGAGUUCCUUCUUUCGAGGAAAGGAAAUAGAAUUGCAGGUAUCCCAACGGAACGGGAGGUGGCAAGAGGCCAGAUAGGCUGGUUUCGGGAGGCGAGAAGCGGACUUCUCUUGAUUGAUCUCUUUUCCCUCCCUCUGAUCCGCUCUCCUUUGCCAAUCUCAGUCAAGAAAAACUAUAGUUUCGAACCUCAUAUGGCUAAUCACCCGGCUGCUAAAGCAUUCUUCCAAAGAGUUCAUAUCUCCUCUACUACUGAAUAUAACAAGGGCUUUCCUCAACCCAGCUAAUCAACAAUUGGGAAGUCCAUUUACUCAUUGAUGGAGAUGGGAACCGAAAGACACUGACAAUUACUGGACCUAGCUUGACAGAAUAACAGGACGUCGUCCGCAUAAAGAUAAAGUAAGUGGGAGUCUACUGACUCAGAUCCAUUUGCUGACGAGCCCCCGAAUUACACAUACCAACUGGUGGAACCCCGUUAUGAGACAAUUCCUGUUUAUAGGCGAAAAAGGGAAAUUUAAACGGCCAAAAAAGACCGCUUUAACACGAGUUCACCUUUUGGUGGUACAAACCGUAGUGGGAAGCCCCGAUCAAGGGGAGCCCCUUCUUUUCUUUAGCGNCAUAUCUCUCUCUCACUCAUGCAUACUCGAAGGCUCGAGCAGGCCUCAAAUAAAGCUCCCCGUAAUGCCCUACUCGAGUAAGCGUUCGAGUAGGCGCGUUGCGGGUGCUCUAACUAUGGCUAACCACACAAAUAUUUUAAUGAAUGAAAUUUGCUAGGAGGCUAAUGAUGCUAAAAAUCCUCUCGCUUCUUGUUGUCGGCUUGUUCACCAACUCCAUUUCCUAUAAAUAGGUUUUAGGCCACUUAAUUUGUGCACGUGUGUGCCAAUAGAGGUCUAUCCUCAAGUCUUGUGUUUUAAUAAUAAAUAUUAAAUGCUAUUUUUAAUAAGUGCACGACAAAUUAUUAAUUUGUGGUACUACUAUCAUCAUUUUCAUCAUCCUCGCAAAUUAUAUUUUUUAGUUAAUUACAAUCUCAAGCUCUUGAUAUAGCAACAUACAAGUAGUAUAAUAAAAUAAUUAUAACAAAACAUAAGAUAUGGCAAAAAAAAUAUGCAAUUUAAAUUUAUAAUAUGGAUUAAAAAAAUCUAAUAUGUGCCAAAAGAUAUGAUUCCACCAUUUAUUUUAUAUUUAUAUUUCAAGGUGAUUAGACAUAUUUUAUACUCAUAUUCCAAGUGUUUUUGAUGGAUUUAAAUGCUUAGUUCAUGCUAAAUAUUAUCUUUUGGACUUAAUUGCAGAACUAAUAGAAUUUUUGAUGGCUCUUGAUAGAUUAUGGAGAAGGAAGCUCAAUUUUAGAAGUUACUAUGAAAACAUGAGUGUGAGAAGAAAGAAAUCUGUGAUGCGUGAAGGUUGAAUGGUAUUUGCCCAUACCGCAUGAAAUGUCCAAAAUUGAAGCAGACAUGAAAAAUGAUUUAUUAUUCGCGUAUUUACUUAUUUUGUUGAAUUGUUGUGGGCUUUAAACACUUAUUUUGAGGCUUAGAGGAUAUUUACUUAGAGAAAGGUUUUAAUCUCUUUUAUAUAAGACAUUUACGCACAGCAUAUUAGAUACUCCCUUCGUUCCACUAAAAAUGGCAUGUAUUCCAUUUUGGCCGUCCCAUUAUAAGUGACAUGUUUCUAUAAAUGAAAAAAUUUAAUCCUUAAAAAAGUGUAUGCUUUAUUACUUUUAAUCAAUUUACAUAUUCUCCUUAAUUCUCAUGCUGAAAAGUUUUGAGCCACUUAUAAUGAGACGGAGAGAAUAAUAAGUUUUAGAACGUGAAUCUUUUGUAUCACCAAUCAAGUUUUUACUUAUAUAUCCUUCGUCUCUCUUCUUUCUAUUUAUUUCUUAUUUUCUUGCAUUUAUUUUAUUAUGAAUUCUAAUUAAUUUCUUUAUUCCGACAAAGAUUAAGAAAAUAUUAGCAUGUUUAUCAUGUGAGAUCUAAUAUGUUCAUUAUACUUUAUUUUAUGCUCGCAUUCGUGAUUCUAUGUGUUUAAUGUUAUUAAUUGUUUCAAUCUGCUAUAUAGUUGCAAAUAUUUAAUGAUUUUGUAUCGGCCAUAUGUAAUCGUAGUUUAGAUUUGGUUAGUAAUAAAUUGACACAUCAUGGUUAAUGAAAAAUCAAACUUAAUUCAAUAAUUCAAUGUCAGGAUUUAUUUAUUUUGAAUCUAAGUUUCUCUAGAAUUUAAUGUUGUUGACUCAUUAAACCUAUAUAAAAAUUUAAUAUUAGCGACUCAUUAAACUUAUAUAACGUCAAUUACGAUUGGCACGAUUAGUGAAAUCACUGAAAUAAUUAGUGAAGCGUCUUCCUAAUUAUCAAUUAAUUAUAAGGAGAAAUAAGAUCAUGUCCCAACCAUCUUCGAUGAUUAUAACUAAUAAUUGUUUGCAUAAUUAAGAUCAUGUCACGAUUAGUAUAUAUAUAUAUAUAUAUAUAUAUAUAUAGUAGGUAUAUUAUAGUAGACGNNNNNNNNNNNNNNNNNNNNNNNNNNNNNNNNNNNNNNNNNNNNNNNNNNNNNNNNNNNNNNNNNNNNNNNNNNNNNNNNNNNNNNNNNNNNNNNNNNNNNNNUCCUAUAUAUAUAUAUAUAUAUAUAUAUAUAUAUAUAUAUAUAUAUUUUAGGCGCUAGACGAGUAUUUAUUGAUGCAAAUCAGUAGCGGCAACAGAAACAAUCCAAUCCGGAAAAAUAGUAGUCCAACACUUCGGUUGGCCAAGAGUACGACUAAAUUGAGCGAGACAGUGAGCAGCUCGAUUAGCCGACCUAUAAGUAUGAAACACACCCUGCAGGAAGCAAUCUCUAGCACUCUCAAUAAUCUCCUUAACAUCAUCCGGAAGCAAGACAUCAACUUCAUACCAGUUCGCCAUCACCCGGGCCGCAAGCAUAGAGUCCAUAAAAAUCGCCACCGACCAAAGCUUAAGCUCGAUACAAACCAUAACACCGCGUGCACCACCGCCAUCACUUCGGUGAGCAUAGCGUUUGAAGAUGGUAGCUGUGGCUUCGUCACAGCUGCUCUCAUGCGUCCUCUAUCAUCACGAACAAUGACACCCACACUAAAAGCAUUCGUUGUUAGAUCGAAAAGAGCAUCAACAUUCACCUUGUAGUGUCCAUGUCAACAGACAACAGAUUGUUUGAAUAUAUUCCUUAAAGAGAACCUCAGCAUAUCCCUCCCACCUUUAAUUGAAUGCACAGUUGGGUGGGCAGACAGCAAGGAACGGAAUCCCGCUUGAAUUUAUGGUCGCGAUAACGUCCAUUUUUUAUGGAUGUGGUUGGCUGAAGCAUUCCAGUUCUUCAGCUCCUCGUCUACCACAAAGCCCUCCUUUCAAGGAUGUCCUAUCAUUCGAUUUCGUACAAGCUUUGUUAUAAGAUUAAGAUAAUUAAGGUCCAUUGUUACAGUCGGUAGACAAGAAAAUGCGAAUAGAGAACAACACAUGAUAAGGAGGAGUUUGUGAGUCAUAUAGUCAUAGAGAGGGUGAGUCUUUCCAUUUGUAAAUGGAGUGUAGUCUGUUAGUACAAAAACCGACCUCGUAGGGUCCUCAACUAACAGAAAAUGGUAAGGCAAGACGAAUAGCGAAACCCAGGAAGCAGAUACUCAUCUUACUUAAACUGCAGAGCUACGCCACCCGAUUCAACGAGUGAUUAGCAACAACCGAUUCGACCAUUGAAAGAACUCUUGCUCCUAGGCUACAGAUGCACCGAGUGAGGAACUCUAGGAUGUUCGACCCUCAUUUUAAUAAGUAUGAUCCGUUCUCUGCCAUAGGGUUCAUUAUAGAUAACAUUCGNNNNNNNNNNNNNNNNNNNNNNNNNNNNNNNNNNNNNNNNNNNNNNNNNNNNNNNNNNNNNNNNNNNNNNNNNNNNNNNNNNNNNNNNNNNNNNNNNNNNNNNNNNNNNNNNNNNNNNNNNNNNNNNNNNNNNNNNNNNNNNNNNNNNNNNNNNNNNNNNNNNNNNNNNNNNNNNNNNNNNNNNNNNNNNNNNNNNNNNNNNNNNNNNNNNNNNNNNNNNNNNNNNNNNNNNNNNNNNNNNNNNNNNNNNNNNNNNNNNNNNNNNNNNNNNNNAUUAGGGCUAUAAAUUCGGGUUGCGGGUAUCGGGUAUACCCUCACCCGCCCCGAUACCCGCAAAUUUAAAGAGGAGGGUCGGGUGCGGGUAUCAAAUCCUCAAAAAUCUCGGGUAGAGGGUACCCGCAUACCCGCAAUAUAAUAUUUAAAAAUUAAAAUUAAAUAAUUUUAUUUAGAAAUUUUAGGAAUUAACCCCCCAAACCAAGCCCUAGUUCCGUCUCUCUCUCAUCUAAUCUCUCUGCGGUCCUGCGGCUCCUGCCUGCCUCUCGACUCUCUCCCCCCUCGACUCCGCCGCCGACGCCGCUGCCCCGCGUCGGCCCGUCGCUGCCCACCCUCGCUGCUGCCUCGCGCCCGCCAGUCGCCGCCCACCCUCGCUGGCUGCUGCCCCGCGCCUGCCAGUCGCCGCUGCCUCGCGCCUGCACGUCGCCGCCCCCUCGGCGUUUUCUUCCGCGGAACUUAGGAUUAUACGAUUAAUUUGACUGAAUGUUGCUUAAUUAGUUUAGUUUAGUUUGGAGUUACUUAAUUACUUUGCAUAAUGUAAUGCUUAAUUAGUCAUGUUCAUGCCAAUUCCUUCUAGAUCGAGUGAUAAUUUUUUGAAUUUAUUUUCUCUUUUUGGUUUGUUAAUUAUACUAUAUAUGAAAUAGAAAGGAUAUUUUCAAUUUUUUUUGUUAAAUGCGGGACAAAAUGCCCUCUUGCAGGACAAAAUACCAUCCCGCGGGACCAAAAACCUGCAAAAUUACAAUUAAAAAAAAAAAUUGCGGGACUGUGAGGGUACCCUCAUAUCCGCAACGGGUAUCCGCUGCGGGUAUUCGAGUACCCGCAGCACGCAGGAGGGUGGGGUUUUGGGCGGUUUUUGUCCCGCGGGUACUCGCAUUUUGCGGGUAGGGUACCCGCGGGUACCCGAAUUUACAGCCCUAAUCCUAAUUCACAUAACUUUCCUAGCAAACAAACAUGUAGGGUUUCUAAUAAACCAUGUAUAUAUUUAGUAGUAUAUUAAAUAAUAUAUUUAAUAAUAUAUAUAUAUAUAUAUAUAUAUAAUAUAUCGGUUCGGUUNCAAAAUUAACAAUUAAAAAAAAAUUAGCGGGACUGUGAGAGUACCCUCAUAUCCGCUGCGGGUAUUCGAGUACCCGCAGCACGCAGGAGGGUGGGGUUUUGGGCAGUUUUUGUCCCGCGGGUAGGGUACCCGCGGGUACCCGAAUUUACAGCCCUAAUCCUAAUUCACAUAACUUUCCUAGCAAACAAACAUGUAGGGUUUCUAAUAAACCAUGUAUAUAUUUAGUAGUAUAUUAAAUAAUAUAUUUAAUAAUAUAUAUAUAUAUAUAUAUAAUAUAUAUAUCGGUUCGGUUCCCGACCGAACCAUGGGCGAAGAAUCGAAAUCGAACCGAUACAUGGUCGGUUUACAAAUAUGAAAACGGAAUCGAAAAUCGACCCAAAAAUCUUAAAAUCAAACCGAACCGAAUAAAAAAUGAUCGAUUCGAUCGAUUUUUUCGAGCCGGUUCGGUUUAUGUUCAGCCUCGUAAUUUUAACCAUUCUCAAACCAUUCCAAUUCGUUGAUAAAAAUUACCAUUUUGCUUUCAAUUCUCAAACCAUUUUGGCAGCUCUAAUCAACUCUUCCAUCUCAUUACACACUAGGACACCAUACUCGUUGAUAAAAAUUCAGAAGAUUCAUAGAAUAAAUGUGACAAUAGAUAGCAAAAGAAUAAAUGGAAUAAAUAUCGUACCUUUUCAUAAAAAAUCGACAUCACACACUGACACAAUUAAAUGCAGGAUACAAUAAGAGAGGUUGUCAGCGGCAGACGACUGUGAUUGCGCCGCAACGGCUGGAGGGUUUGGAAACUGAAGUUAUAGGGUUUGGAGUGAAUAAGUGAUACUCCCUCCGUCCACAAAAGAACUUCCUACUUUUUGGGACGUCCACAAAAGAACUUCCUAUUUUUUGGGACGUCCACAAAAGAACUUCUUACUUGUUUUUGAACUAUAACACACCACUUAUAAAUAUCUUAUUUAUCUUUACUAUUCACUUUUUCAUCACUAUCAAUACUAAUUAAAAUACAUUUUAACCAUUCCUAUUACAAUUAACAACCUUUACUCCACUCUCAAUACAAUCAACAAUAUUUUUUUAAAAACUCGUGUCACUCCCUCCUAGGAAGUUCUUUCGUGGACAGGAGGAAUAGUACGGAAAAAAAUAAUGAAAGAUGUAAACACUAAAAACUAAAAAAGAUAAAUUAGACUAUUAUUAAGCUAUGCUAUGAAGAGAGCUACACGGUAGGAAGACAGGUUUAGAAUGACAAUGUUAUGAAGAGAGCUACGCUGUAGGAAGAUAAGCUUAGAAGGAGAAGGCACAAGAACAGGAUGAUUAUCAUGGGCUAAGAGGAGCCCCAGUGCAAAAUGGAAAAAAAGUAUACUCCCUCCAUCCGCCAAAAGUGGACAANCCCCCCCAUUUUCAAUACCUUCUGUAAUCAAAGCUUCUGUAGUAAAGUGGAAGGAAAUCUGAGACAAGUGUUCUGGCAACUGCAACGCUCCCUGAAAGGUCUAACUCAUCCGCCGUUUCUGAUUCAAAAAUCAAGAAUGUCUGUCCCCCUCUUCCUUUGGUUGAGCUAGCCCACGGGCUUCUCUUAUUUGUCCGUCCGCAGGGGAGGAAGCUCUCCUAUAUCAUUAAGAACCGGACCUAGCAUCUUUGGUUCUCGCAUCCAAAAUAAGUGGGGUGCUUAUGCCGAAGUAGUUGGUGAAGUGCGCCAAUGGGUAGGGAGGAAACGUAAGGGUUUCAUUUAGCCCACGUUCCAGGCCAAGAAAGAGAGUCUACGAGAGAGUUCGUUUGCUGCCUGUCUGUGUUGUCUAGGCUCUUGAACAAGCCGACAUGCCCUAGCUUACUGACAGGGAUUCCUUCGCCGAUCAAAGCUUUUCCGCUUUGACUGUGAAGGAGGAACCCCGCAAGUAUAUUCAUUGCCCGAGAGAUCAGCAAGUUCAGAGUGCGUGUUUGUGACCUAGUAUUGGUACUACCUUCGACCGAGAAAUUGAGAAUUGAGAGAAUGCAUCUAAAGUUGCCUAAAUCGUUUUCAGGUUCUAUGAAGCUCUUCCUAUCAUCUCUAGUCUGCGGGUGGGAGAGAGGUCCAUGAAUGACUAGACUGACUAGCCGGUGAAAGAUAGAGCACCUGUCACUGAUCCGCUAGAGCCUCCAGAUGGGUUCAAUCUAAGAGUAGAAUGGGGUCCUCAAUCCGGCUAAGAAUCUCAGAUCGGAAGGUUGCAUCGUCUUUCCCAAGACGAAGUAGCCAAGUGUUUGCACCCUGUAUUAGUAAGUAGGGAGGGGGUCGAGACACUGAAGAAGGAAAUCCAAGUAGUCAACCGCAGUGCUUGCAGACUCUAUCGUCGCGGAUCAAUACCCGGGGCGAGGGGCAAUCGCCAAUGGGAAACACCAGUCUCGUGGUAUCAUCGAAGGUUCCAGUUCUGAGGGAUUGGAAAAAGUCCUGUUUCUUCGACCAGAGGACUGCAGCCGCUUUCUUGGGGCUAGCUCAACUUAUUUUUUGGCCUUUCGAAAGGAAUUGCUGGAAAGAGAUCUCCGAACGGAGGAAGUGAAAAAUCAUAAUAGUGGAAUUACAAAUCUUACCGGCGGGCUUUACUUAAAGUGAAAGACUAACGUGCGUACGCGAGACCAAGACGACGGGAAGCAUUCAACUUGGGGCUGACGGGGUAGGAACAUUUCCUUCUUUUUGAUUAUUCCACUCUCCAAUCCGAUUUAGUGCGUUUAAAUGGGACUUUGGGUUCUCUGACGGCAUACCCCACAGGGGUUGCUUUUCGAACAAUUCGAAUAGAUAAAGUAUGCCCGCGUGGCGAAAUCUGAGAUACCAAAUGUUUUCAUUUCCCUAGGAUCGAGCGAUAGGGUGCCUGCCCACAGUUAAGAAUUUUUCNNNNNNNNNNNNNNNNNNNNNNNNNNNNNNNNNNNNNNNNNNNNNNNNNNNNNNNNNNNNNNNNNNNNNNNNNNNNNNNNNNNNNNNNNNNNNNNNNNNNNNNNNNNNNNNNNNNNGCCUUACGAAAGCGAAUAAAGAAGAUAAAGGUCAAAGCGAUACGACCCUUAUUCCAUUCCAAUUCAAUAAGGGAUGACCCCUAAGCAACGGAAAUCCCCUCUUGUUCCAAAACCACUAGGCAUCGAAACAGAUAUGAGAGAAAUGCCCCGAAGAGGCCUAAGGGACU
rnacentral:lncRNA from 1 species